GGCCUUUUGAUUAUGAUUUAAGGUCUUGCCUGCCCAAUGAUGUAAAAGUUAAAUGGCCGCAGUAUUCUGACUGUGCAAAGGUAGCAUAAUCACUAGUUUUUUAAUUGAAAGCUUGUAUGAAAGGUUUGAUGAGAAAAGAACUGUCUCUAUCUAAAAUUUUAGAAAUUUAUUUUUAAGUUAAAAAGCUUAAAUUUAUAUUGAAGACGAGAAGACCCUAUAGAGUUUUAUUUAUAAGAUAAUAAAUAGUAUUUAGUAUUUAAAAUUUUAUUUUUGUAUAAAUUUAGUUGGGGAGAUUGAAAAAUUAAUAAAACUUUUUUUUUAUUUAUACAUUUAUUUGUGAAUAUUUGACCCUUUAUUGGAUCAUAAGAAAAAAUUACCUUAGGGAUAACAGCGUAAUUUUUUUUAGAGUUCUUAUCGAAAAGAAAGAUUGCGACCUCGAUGUUGGAUUAAAAUUUAAUUUUUGGUGUAGAAGCUAAAAAAUUAGGUCUGUUCGACCUUUAAAUUUUUACAUGAUCUGAGUUUAAACCGGCGUAAG
rnacentral:rRNA from 1 species